UAACCUUGUUCAUGGCGCCUCUACGU
rnacentral:piRNA from 1 species